rnacentral:rRNA from 1 species
CCUACGAGCGGCAGCAGUGAGGAAUAUUGGUCAAUGGGCGUAAGCCUGAACCAGCCAAGUCGCGUGAGGGAUGAAGGUUCUAUGGAUCGUCAACCUCUUUUAUAAGGGAAUAAAGUGUGGGACGUGUCCUAUUUUGUAUGUAACUUAUGAAUAAGGAUCGGCUAACUCCGUGCCAGCAGCCGCGGUAAUACGGAGGAAUCGAGCGUUAUCCGGAUUGAUUGGGUUUAAAGGGUGAAUAGGCGGCCUUUUAAGUCAGCGGUGAAAGUCUGUGGCUCAACCAUAGAAUUGCCGUUGAAACUGGGGGGCUUGAGUAUGUUUGAGGCAGGCGGAAUGCGUGGUGUAGCGGUGAAAUGCUUAGAUAUCACGCAGAACCCCGAUUGCGAAGGCAGCCUGCCAAGCCAUGACUGACGCUGAUGCACGAAAGCGUGGGGAUCAAACAGGAUUAGAUACCCCUGUAGUC